GGGACUGAUAGGAUUUCUACAUGUUUGUAUAUCUUAAGCUUUACUUUAAUCUAUAUUAUAAAUAGGACAUAAUGUUAUAAUUUAUUUUGAUUAAUUGCAAAACAUAAUAUUUUAGCUUUUUCGAGAAAUUUAGUAAACGUAUAAAUUAUCAAGAUUAUAUUUUGUAAUAUCAAAACGCAAUUUAUAUUUUCUUAAGUUUGCUCUAAUUAUGAACGAAUCAAAAGUUAAUGAAAAAAAGUACAUUGAUUUUUUUUAAUCAAUUUUUAGAUAAGUAUGAAAUUUAAAAACGUAAACGACUCAUUGAUAAGUGCUUAAACAUUUUACAAACAUGGACGUGGGUUCAAGUCCCACCAGUUCCA
rnacentral:tmRNA from 1 species